AGUGAACGCUGGCGGCAGGCCUAAUACAUGCAAGUCGAACGGCAGCACAGCAGAGCUUGCUCUGUGGGUGGCGAGUGGCGGACGGGUGAGGAAUACAUGGGAAUCUGCCCAGUCGUGGGGGAUAACGUAGGGAAACUUACGCUAAUACCGCAUAUUCUGUGAGCAGGAAAGCAGGGGAUCGCAAGACCUUGCGCUGAUUGAGCGGCCGAUAUCAGAUUAGCUAGUUGGUGGGGUAAAGGCCUACCAAGGCGACGAUCUGUAGCGGGUCUGAGAGGAUGAUCCGCCACACUGGAACUGAGACACGGCCCAGACUCCUACGGGAGGCAGCAGUGGGGAAUUUUGGACAAUGGGCGCAAGCCUGAUCCAGCCAUGCCGCGUGCAGGAUGAAGGCCUUCGGGUUGUAACUGCUUUGUACGGAACGAAAGACUCUUUCUAAUAAAGAGGUCCAUGACGGUACCGUAAGAAUAAGCACCGGA
rnacentral:rRNA from 1 species